rnacentral:rRNA from 1 species
CAGUCGCCGCGGUAAUACGUAGGUGGCAAGCGUUGUCCGGAAUUAUUGGGCGUAAAGCGCGCGCAGGUGGUUUAAUAAGUCUGAUGUGAAAGCCCACGGCUCAACCGUGGAGGGUCAUUGGAAACUGUUAAACUUGUGUGAAGGAGAGAAAAGUGGAAUUCCUAGUGUAGCGGUGAAAUGCGUAGAGAUUAGGAGGAACACCAGUGGCGAAGGCGGCUUUUUGGCCUGUAACUGACACUGAGGCGCGAAAGCGUGGGGAGCAAACAGGAUUAGAUACCCCCGUAGUCCCUGUCUCUUAUAC